UACAACAUAGCGUCAAUGCACAUGAUCCCAUUAGAACUCCGCUCAGGCUAGAGUAGUAUUGGGAUGGGUGACCACCUGGGAAUUCCUAGUGUUUUAC
rnacentral:rRNA from 1 species